UACGUAGGUGGCAAGCGUUAUCCGGAUUUAUUGGGCGUAACGGGAACGCAGGCGGUCUUUUAAGUCUGAUGUGAAAGCCUUCGGCUUAACCGGAGUAGUGCAUUGGAAACUGGGAGACUUGAGUGCAGAAGAGGAGAGUGGAACUCCAUGUGUAGCGGUGAAAUGCGUAGAUAUAUGGAAGAACACCAGUGGCGAAAGCGGCUCUCUGGUCUGUAACUGACGCUGAGGUUCGAAAGCGUGGGUAGCAAACAGG
rnacentral:rRNA from 1 species